rnacentral:rRNA from 1 species
GAUGAACGCUGGCGGCGUGCCUAAUACAUGCAAGUCGAGCGAACAGACGAGGAGCUUGCUCCUCUGACGUUAGCGGCGGACGGGUGAGUAACACGUGGAUAACCUACCUAUAAGACUGGGAUAACUUCGGGAAACCGGAGCUAAUACCGGAUAAUAUAUUGAACCGCAUGGUUCAAUAGUGAAUGACGGUUUUGCUGUCACUUAUAGCUGGAUCCGCGCCGCAUUAGCUAGUUGGUAAGGUAACGGCUUACCAAGGCAACGAUGCGUAGCCGACCUGAGAGGGUGAUCGGCCACACUGGAACUGAGACACGGUCCAGACUCCUACGGGAGGCAGCAGUAGGGAAUCUUCGGCAAUGGGCGAAAGCCUGACGGAGCAACGCCGCGUGAGUGAUGAAGGUCUUCGGAUCGUAAAACUCUGUUAUUAGGGAAGAACAAAUGUGUAAGUAACUAUGCACGUCUUGACGGUACCUAAUCAGAAAGCCGCGGCUAACUACGUG